rnacentral:rRNA from 1 species
UGGGGAAUAUUGGACAAUGGGCGAAAGCCUGAUCCAGCCAUGCCGCGUGAGUGAUGAAGGCCUUAGGGUUGUAAAACUCUUUCGCCGGGGAAGAUAAUGACGGUACCCGGAGAAGAAGCUCCGGCUAACUUCGUGCCAGCAGCCGCGGUAAUACGAAGGGAGCUAGCGUUGUUCGGAAUUACUGGGCGUAAAGCGCACGUAGGCGGGCUAUUAAGUCAGGGGUGAAAUCCCGAGGCUCAACCUCGGAACUGCCUUUGAUACUGAUAGUCUUGAGAUCGGGAGAGGUGAGUGGAAUUCCUAGUGUAGAGGUGAAAUUCGUAGAUAUUAGGAAGAACACCAGUGGCGAAGGCGGCUCACUGGCCCGAUACUGACGCUGAGGUGCGAAAGCGUGGGGAGCAAACAGGAUUAGAUACCCCUGUAGUCCCUGAGCGGGCUGGCAAGGCGCAU